rnacentral:lncRNA from 1 species
GCCGCCGCCGCCGCACUCGUGCUCGCCCUCGCCGCCGCCGCCGCCACGCUCGCAUUCGCCUACCUCUACUACCAGCCCCACCUCCCCUCCUUCCUCCUCCUCUCCGUCUCACCCCACCGCGCCCGGAUCUUCCCCCGAUCCCUCCACCCGCGCCGCUGCCGCCACUCGCGCAGUUGCCGCUGUCACAUCCCACCUUCUCCGCUCCGCUGCCGCCACCGCCGGGGGCCCGCAUCCUAUAUAAUGUCGCGGCCGCCACCCACGCCGCUGCUGCCACCCGCGCCGUAGCUGCUGCCGCAUCCAACUUUCUCCGCUCCGCUACGCCACACUCCGCUACCGCCAGGGGCCUGCAUCCCACCUUCUUCGUAGGGCUUCAAGGAGGAGGAGGAGAAAGAAGGAGGAAGAAGAGGAAGAAAAAAAAUAGUAUAAAUUGAGGGAAGAAGAAAAAAAAAAUGUAAAUUUCACCUAAACGGUGUAAAAUUUGGCAAAAUGGUACAAAAUUGAGCGAAAAAUUGGGCCAAUUUUGAUGAGAAUUGCACAAUUUUGCACCAUUUUGCCCAAUUUUGCACUAUUUCGUUCAAAAUUGUAUAAUUUUUCCUUCUCCUCAUCUUCCUCUUCCUCUUCCUUCUUCCUUUUUACAUCACUAGUCAACUCACGUGCGAUGCACGUGUAAGAAACUUGAACAAUUUAUAAAAUAUAUUUAUUUUUAUAAAUCAAAUUAUUUGAACGAUAUAUUUAGAUUUAGAAUUUGGAUAU